ACUGCCUUGAUCCACUUGGCUACAUCCGCCCCUACUAUUACUAGUAUUUCUAUUUAUUUUUAUUUUCAAAAAAUAUUCCAUUUUGAAUUAAAUAAAUUAAGAAUGGAAAAUAUUUCAUUUCGAUUGUUAAUUUUUAACAUUUUUUACCUUACUUAUGAGAUAGAAGAAGCAGAAAAUGCUACCCUUUGUAUUUUAUUCGAAAAAAAAACUAGAAGAUAAUAAUCUCACAAAGACUUACAAAGGGUUGAAAAGAAUGUAUAUAAAUUAGAAAUUCAUAUCUAAAGUAUGAUACGCAAUCAUAAACCAAUUCCUAAGACUCGAAUACCUUUUCUUAUGUUGAAGUAAAGAAACACUUAUGUAAAGAAAAGAGCACUAGAUAAAGGAACAAUAACCAAUUUCUUAUUCUAUCAAGAGUGUUGGUUAUUGCUCCUUUAUUUUGCAAUCAAAAACUCAACUACACUUAUACUAAGACCAAAGUCUUAUCCAUUUGUAGAUGGAGCUUCGAACAGCAGCUAG
rnacentral:misc_RNA from 1 species